rnacentral:antisense_RNA from 1 species
GGAGGCACAGACGGGGGCCCGUGGGGGCAGGACGGCAGCCUCCCCGAGGCACAUGGCCGAGUGCUGAGCUGGGAAGGCAUCGUCGUAACGCCCUGGAGGGCCAGACUUGAAAUGAGAACUCUUAGAAAACCACACCAGAGCACAGCCCACCUCCCUUCUCUUCCCUGACUGUGCCCCCCAGCAGAGGACCCUGGCCCACAGCCAAGCCACAUCCAUGCCACUCCUGCGAACAGCCACUUGUAACUAAGUAUGGGGAACCGAGGAAAUGUUACUAAGACAACUUGGUGGGGAGGGAGCCAGUGUUCACAGCCCCUAUGAUCCCUUUACAGUUUCUGAGCACA